UGGCGGUUGUGUAGUGUGUGCGGUGGUGAUUGUGGUGUGAUGUUUUCAUGUAAACUGCUGGUUUAUGAGAGAACUGUUGAGAUAUUGAAGAGGAAAUAUAAUGGAUGUUGUACAGCGGUGCGCUCCGAAGGAAUAAUUCCGUUGUAAAGUGGUGGAAAUGGUGAUGCUGCUCUGGCGGGAUUAUCGGGUGUCGCAGAGCAGUGAUCAACGAGCGCAGUGAUUUUUCGGAAACGAUCGAGCGACGCAGUUGCAGGCUGAAUACUACCAGCAUCGCCGGCCCCGGGUGGCUAAGAGG